UUGAACGCUGGCGGCAGGCCUAACACAUGCAAGUCGAACGGUAACAGGAAGCAGCUUGCUGCUUUGCUGACGAGUGGCGGACGGGUGAGUAAUGUCUGGGAAACUGCCCGAUGGAGGGGGAUAACUACUGGAAACGGUAGCUAAUACCGCAUAACGUCGCAAGACCAAAGAGGGGGACCUUAGGGCCUCUUGCCAUCGGAUGUGCCCAGAUGGGAUUAGCUAGUAGGUGGGGUAAUGGCUCACCUAGGCGACGAUCCCUAGCUGGUCUGAGAGGAUGACCAGCCACACUGGAACUGAGACACGGUCCAGACUCCUACGGGAGGCAGCAGUGGGGAAUAUUGCACAAUGGGCGCAAGCCUGAUGCAGCCAUGCCGCGUGUAUGAAGAAGGCCUUCGGGUUGUAAAGUACUUUCAGCGGGGAGGAAGGGAGUAAAGUUAAUACCUUUGCUCAUUGACGUUACCCGCAGAAGAAGCACCGGCUAACUCCGUGCCAGCAGCCGCGGUAAUACGGAGGGUGCAAGCGUUAAUCGGAAUUACUGGGCGUAAAGCGCACGCAGGCGGUUUGUUAAGUCAGAUGUGAAAUCCCCGGGCUCAACCUGGGAACUGCAUCCAAAACUACUGAGCUAGAGUACGGUAGAGGGUGGUGGAAUUUCCUGUGUAGCGGUGAAAUGCGUAGAUAUUAGGAGGAACACCAGUGGCGAAGGCGGCUUACUGGACUGUAACUGACGUUGAGGCGCGAAAGUGUGGGGAGCAAACAGGAUUAGAUACCCUGGUAGUCCACGCCGUAAACGAUGUCGACUUGGAGGUUGUGCCCUUGAGGCGUGGCUUCCGGAGCUAACGCGUUAAGUCGACCGCCUGGGGAGUACGGCCGCAAGGUUAAAACUCAAAUGAAUUGACGGGGGCCCGCACAAGCGGUGGAGCAUGUGGUUUAAUUCGAAGCAACGCGAAGAACCUUACCUGGUCUUGACAUCCACGGAAGUUUUCAGAGAUGAGAAUGUGCCUUCGGGAACCGUGAGACAGGUGCUGCAUGGCUGUCGUCAGCUCGUGUUGUGAAAUGUUGGGUUAAGUCCCGCAACGAGCGCAACCCUUAUCCUUUGUUGCCAGCGGUCCGGCCGGGAACUCAAAGGAGACUGCCAGUGAUAAACUGGAGGAAGGUGGGGAUGACGUCAAGUCAUCAUGGCCCUUACGACCAGGGCUACACACGUGCUACAAUGGCGCAUACAAAGAGAAGCGACCUCGCGAGAGCAAGCGGACCUCAUAAAGUGCGUCGUAGUCCGGAUUGGAGUCUGCAACUCGACUCCAUGAAGUCGGAAUCGCUAGUAAUCGUGGAUCAGAAUGCCACGGUGAAUACGUUCCCGGGCCUUGUACACACCGCCCGUCACACCAUGAGAGCCGGGGGGACCCGAAGUCGGUAGUCUAACCGCAAGGAGGACGCCGCCGAAGGUAAAACUGGUGAUUGGGGUG
rnacentral:rRNA from 1 species